CGCAAACGCACUCUGUGUCACAUUGAAAUAUGACCACAUGUGAUGACAAUUUGUUAGUUUGCAAAAACAAUAGAAGCUCCGAAUUAUCCAUGUGGCAAUGUUUUACCAAAUUGACUACAUUGAAAUCGAGCAUCACACUUA